UCUGUACAUGGCCCGGUGCUGGAAGGGCAGGGAACAACCGAUGUUGCUAUUUUGAAUAGAUUUUUCUUCCCCCCCCAUUUUUAUUUUUGCACAGAGAGUCUCAUGUCUAAUAUUUAGACAUGAUGAGCUUUGUGCAAAAAGUAACUUUGCUCAUUCUUGCCGUGUUUCAACCCUCAGUUAUUUUGGCACAACAAGACGCUCCAGGAGGAUGUACCCAUCUUGGGCAGGUUUAUGCUGACAGGGAUGUUUGGAAACCAGAGCCAUGCCAAAUCUGUGUGUG